rnacentral:rRNA from 1 species
UACGGGAGAAAGCAGGGGACCUUCGGGCCUUGCGCUAUCAGAUGAGCCUAGGUCGGAUUAGCUAGUUGGUGAGGUAAUCGCUCACCAAGGCGACGAUCCGUAACUGGUCUGAGAGGAUGAUCAGUCACACUGGAACUGAGACACGGUCCAGACUCCUACGGGAGGCAGCAGUGGGGAAUAUUGGACAAUGGGCGAAAGCCUGAUCCAGCCAUGCCGCGUGUGUGAAGAAGGUCUUCGGAUUGUAAAGCACUUUAAGUUGGGAGGAAGGGCAGUAACCUAAUACGUUGCGGUCUUGACGUU